UGACCUCGGAUCAGGUAGGGAUACCCGCUGAACUUAAGCAUAUCAAUAAGCGGAGGAAAAGAAACCAACAGGGAUUGCCCCAGUAACGGCGAGUGAAGCGGCAAGAGCUCAAAUUUGAAAGCUGGCUCCUUCGGGGUCCGCAUUGUAAUUUGCAGAGGAUGCUUCGGGAGCGGUCCCCAUCUAAGUGCCCUGGAACGGGACGUCAUAGAGGGUGAGAAUCCCGUAUGGGAUGGGGUGUCCGCGCCCGUGUGAAGCUCCUUCGACGAGUCGAGUUGUUUGGGAAUGCAGCUCUAAAUGGGUGGUAAAUUUCAUCUAAAGCUAAAUAUUGGCCGGAGACCGAUAGCGCACAAGUAGAGUGAUCGAAAGAUGAAAAGCACUUUGAAAAGAGAGUUAAAAAGCACGUGAAAUUGUUGAAAGGGAAGCGCUUGCGACCAGACUCGCUCGCGGGGUUCAGCCGGCAUUCGUGCCGGUGUACUUCCCCGCGAGCGGGCCAACGUCGGUUUGGGCGGUCAGUCAAAGGCCCCUGGAAGGUAACGCCCCCUCGGGGGCGUCUUAUAGCCAGGGGUGCAAUGUGGCCUGCCUGGACCGAGGAACGCGCUUCGGCUCGGACGUUGGCAUAAUGGUCGUAAGCGACC
rnacentral:rRNA from 1 species